rnacentral:lncRNA from 1 species
CCCAAACCCAGAACGCUGACCCCGUUGGGCCCUCCCCACACCAGGCCCCCCGGGUUCCCGAGUUUCUCGCACCUUGUGGGCCCCGCGGAUGGCGGUGAUGCAGGCGGGGUCCACGAGGGGCUUGGGGCGCCGGGCCGACUCCUCGAGCAGCCCCUGCCACUGGCGGGGCAGCCCCGUGAAGCGCUGCUCCGAGGGGUCGUAGCCCGUGUGCACCCGGUGCUCGAAGUUGGACGGCGCCGAGAUCUCCACGCGCUUCUUCUUCUUGGAGAACAUGGCCCGGGCUGUGCUCCUGGAUUGGGGAAAAAAAUUCGGGUUUAGGGAGUGGGAAAUGGGGCUGGCAGCAGGAAUCCAGCUCUGGGAAUGGCCCGGGCUGUGCUCCUGGGAUGGGGAGAAAAUUCGGGUUUAGGGGGUGGGAAAUGGGGGUGGCAGCAGGAAUGGUGUUAGACCCCAAAAUCCAGCCCUGGGAACAAAAUCCAGCCCUGGGAAUGGGAAUGGUCCCCGAAAUCCAGCCCUGGAAAUGGUCCCCAAAAUCCAUCCCUGGGAAUGGUCCCCAAAAUCCAGCCCUGGGAAUGGUCCCCAAAAUCCAGCCCUGGGAACGGGAUCAGCCCCGAAAAUCCCGCUGCUGGAAUGGUUUUUAUCCAUCCACCAACCACUUCUAUCCAAAAUCCCCCCCUUUUAUCCAAUCGCUUCCCAUUUCUCCCCCAAAUCCAAGCUUGGAAGCACCAUAAAUUCCCACUUGGAAAUGGGAUUAAUCCAUUAACCCAACCUGAACCAACAAAGAGAUUUAAAGCACCUGAAAAAGCCACAAAAAAUCUGCUUUUUUUGGGAUCCCAGUGCCAGGAUCAGCGCUCUGGGGCACCAUGUGAGGGUUUGAUUUCAUUCCCUGUUUUUCCAUGUUUUUCCUGCACUUUCCAGGCCAAGAACGAGCUCAGCUGGGAGGGUUUUGGGCCUGUGAUCCCCGUGGGGGCACGAAUCCCACUGGGAAUGGCCCCAAAAUCCCACGGAUCCUGGGCAGGUCUGUUUUUCCCACUUUCACUGCUUUUCCUGGUGCCGAUUUCCCCGUUUCCUCCCAGUUUUUCCCAUUUUCCAGGCUCCAGAAUCCUGCUGCUUCCAAGGUUUUGUCACUGUUUUUUCCCAAUCUUUGAGGAUUUCUCCUUAAAACAGUGAUCCACCACAGAGUUUUCCUUCUCCUCCUCCUCCACUUCGACCCCAGCCAAAAGCUGUCAGAAUUCUGUGUUUUCUCUGUUUUCCCUGCUCAUCCCAGGCUGAUCCCUCCUUCCACCUUCCUGGGAAUCCUCUGGGGUUUGCCAAAAUCUCAUUUUCUGACGGAAAACUCUCCUGGUUUGGGGAAAUUGCAGCUGAGCUCGGGGUGGGAGGAUUAAAAUCUGCUGCCAGAAAAUUAAAAUUUGGGUUUUUCUCCAUGGGAAACAUCCGAGGGUGAACCAGCUCAGCCGGGAUGAGGUGCAGCACCCGUCACCUCUGGACACCAAAUCCACGGGAUUUCACCCCAAAACCUCUCUUUUUUUCCAGAUGGUUGUGGAAAUGUGGCGGCGCUUGGCAGGGGCAGAGGGGUCCUGAGGAAUUCCAGAGGGUGGGAUGGGGCCGGGAGGGGGUGAAGUUGUUCCUCAGCCAUUCCCAGGCCGCAUUCCUGGGAUCCCAGCGGCGCUUAAUUAGUCACCAAUUAACGAGGAACUGAACCUGCACCGGGCGGGAAUAACCUCCUGUUUUCCUUAAAAUUCCCAACAAAAUCCCACAAACUCCCCCUAUAAAUCAGCGGCAGUCAGGCUGUGUCCUGGUGGGAAUUGUACUCCCCACAAAGGGGUCAGAAUUCCUGGGAAAGCCGGGCUGGGAAGGGGCUGGAAUCCUGGGAAGGGGCUGAAAUCCUGGAAUUCCCACAAUUUGUCACAAUUCCCGGGAAAGCCAGGCCAGGAAUUCAGGAAUUCCCAGCGAGGGGUCAGAAUUGCAGGGAAAGCCAGGCCGGGGCCGGGGCGGGUUGGACUGGCCGGGCUGGAUCUGCAGGAGGAGGAGGAGGAGGAGGAGCAGCGCCGGCCUUUGCUCCGGAGGAAUCACGGAAUUCCAGGAAUCCGGAGCCUCCGAAGCUCAGGGGAACGGGGAAAAAAAAAUAAAUUAAAAAAAAAAAAUCCGGGAAGGGAACCA